UUGGGUUCGUAUUAUUCUUAUCGUGUACGCUGUUGUCUGAUUGACGUUCCUACAGAUUGUUAAUAAUUGUAUUACAUCAACCGUAUACUCUUGUUUUCAUUGUAUAAAUUGUUUUAAAUUUAUUGUAAUACAGUAUAAGUGAUUGUGAUUCUUCAACCGAAGUCGAUCAGGUUGCAGAUUUAGAAGAACCAAUUUUACCCUGGCCAAAUUAUCAAAAAUAUUUUAAAGUAUUAAGAGUCAUUGAGGAUAAUUUUUUUACAAGAAGCUGAAAGUGAAGUGCUUAAGUUGUGUCGAUACAAAGUGUUAAAAGGUGGAUUCACGUUCAAACUCUAAUAUAAGAAAACAUUUAAGCACACAACAUUCAACUAUAUUAAAGAAAAUUGAUCACAUUGGUAAUGCAGCGAACAAAAACACUUUAAAGAGAUGCAAUGAUGGAUCAUUGAAGCAUAAUGCAUUAAUGCUGGUAGUUCUUUAAAACAAUCAGAUAAAAACAACCAGUUUUAGAAGAUUUUUUGAAAAACAAAAAAAUUAACUAGUGAAAUUGCAGCAUUAACAAAAGUAGUUGAUAUUUACAUGACUACAUGACUAUAUACUGAUACAUUGCUAGUGAACGAUACGGUUGUUAAUGAUUUAAAGGAAAUCGACGCAUUCAACUUGAACAUUCUCAAUGAUGAAGACCAUGAUUUACCAUAUGUAUUACCAAAACACCAUCAAUGUUGUGCACACACAAUAAAUUUAAUAGCAACAAUGACCAACAUUUUCAAAUACGUCAAGGUUCUGCUGCCUCAAAUAUAGCCACAAGGAGUACCCCAAGGAGGUGUACUUUCUCCUAUCUUAUUUAAUAUUUAUGCUGCCGACCAACCUACUACACGAAAUACUAUUGUUGCUGAUUAUGCUGACGACAAAGUCAUAUUGUCAGUACAUAAUAAUAAUUGAAUAAUGAAUGUUCCAUGAUUGCAGCAGAAACAGUGCAACACUGCAGUCUAAACAUUAAACAUGAUACCAACGAAGAACCCCCCUCGACGGCAGCUCAUUUUCAUCCAGCUAGAUGGCGCCGACGUAUACAGUUUUUUGUCUUAUUUUAAAUUUUACGAAUACUCUGCUCUACUUCUGGUCUAUAAUUAAUACCAUUACCAUGCGUCUAU